rnacentral:rRNA from 1 species
UUCCCCUAGUAACUGCGAGUGAAGCGGGAAGAGCUCAAAUUUAAAAUCUGGCGGCUUCGCCGUCCGAGUUGUAAUUUAGAGAAGCGUUUUCCGCGCCGGACCGUGUACAAGUCUCCUGGAACGGAGCGUCAUAGAGGGUGAGAAUCCCGUCUUUGACACGGACGCCCGGUGCUAUGUGAUACGCUCUCGAAGAGUCGAGUUGUUUGGGAAUGCAGCUCAAAAUGGGUGGUGAACUCCAUCUAAAGCUAAAUAUUGGCGAGAGACCGAUAGCGAACAAGUACCGUGAGGGAAAGAUGAAAAGCACUUUGGAAAGAGAGUGAAACAGUACGUGAAAUUGCUGAAAGGGAAACGCUUGAAGUCAGUCGCGUCCGCCGGGGUUCAGCCUUAUGGUGUACUCUCCGGUGGACGGGCCAGCAUCAUUUUCGGGCGCCGGAAAAUGGCGGGGGGAACGUGACACCUUCGGGUGUGUUAUAGCCCCCCGUCGAAUACGGUGUUCGGGAGUGAGGACCGCCUUUUUUGAAGGAUGCUGGCGUAAUGGCUUUAAACGACCCGUCUUGAAACACGGACCAAGGAGUCUAACAUGCCCGCGAGUGUUCGGGUGGAAAACCCGUGCGCGUAAUGAAAGUGAAAGUUGGGAAGGCUGUCGCGGCCUGCACCGACGCCCGGACCUGAGACUUGUCGACGGUUCUGCGGUAGAGCGUGUAUGUUGGGACCCGAAAGAUGGUGAACUAUGCCUGAAUAGGGUGAAGCCAGAGGAAACUCUGGUGGAGGCUCGUAGCGAUUCUGACGUGCAAAUCGAUCGUCAAAUUUGGGUAUAGGGGCGAAAGACUAAUCGAACCAUCUAGUAGCUGGUUCCUGCCGA